rnacentral:rRNA from 1 species
AUUGAACGCUGGCGGCAGGCCUAACACAUGCAAGUCGAACGGUAACAGGGAUCAGCUUGCUGAUUCGCUGACGAGUGGCGGACGGGUGAGUAAUGUCUGGGAAACUGCCUGAUGGAGGGGGAUAACUACUGGAAACGGUAGCUAAUACCGCAUAACGUCGCAAGACCAAAGAGGGGGACCUUCGGGCCUCUUGCCAUCGGAUGUGCCCAGAUGGGAUUAGCUAGUAGGUGGGGUAACGGCUCACCUAGGCGACGAUCCCUAGCUGGUCUGAGAGGAUGACCAGCCACACUGGAACUGAGACACGGUCCAGACUCCUACGGGAGGCAGCAGUGGGGAAUAUUGCACGAUGGGCGCAAGCCUGAUGCAGCCAUGCCGCGUGUAUGAAGAAGGCCUUCGGGUUGUAAAGUACUUUCAGCGGGGAGGAAGGGAGUAAAGUUAAUACCUUUGCUCAUUGACGUUACCCGCAGAAGAAGCACCGGCUAACUCCGUG